rnacentral:rRNA from 1 species
UCGAUUGUGCCAGCAGCCGCGGUAAUACGUAGGGUGCGAGCGUUAAUCGGAAUUACUGGGCGUAAAGCGUGCGCAGGCGGUUAUAUAAGUCAGAUGUGAAAUCCCCGGGCUCAACCUGGGACCUGCAUUUGAGACUGUAUAGCUAGAGUACGGUAGAGGGGGAUGGAAUUCCGCGUGUAGCAGUGAAAUGCGUAGAUAUGCGGAGGAACACCGAUGGCGAAGGCAAUCCCCUGGACCUGUACUGACGCUCAUGCACGAAAGCGUGGGGAGCAAACAGGAUUAGAUACCCUGGUAGUCCACGCCCUAAACGAUGUCAACUGGUUGUUGGGUCUUCACUGACUCAGUAACGAAGCUAACGCGUGAAGUUGACCGCCUGGGGAGUACGGCCGCAAGGUGAACUCAAGAAU